GGGGCGCAAGUUCUGGGGGUGCUGCCAUUAUUGCACACACAGCAGGCAGCUCAGGCGAGAACUCCCCACCCACAGCUUCACAGCUGCCCGGUGGCUGUCAGGGCAGCCCUGGCCUGGCCUGAUGCCUGUUGCUCCGUGGCCUGCAGACAAGAGGGUGAGUGGGCACACACAUUCGAGGCCAGAAAGCUGCCAGAGCUCAGCUUCCACCCAGGGUAGCCAGAAAGGCUGCAUCUUUUGGAGAAGUGAGGGAAGGGAAAUGGGCAGAUGAACUCCUUGCUGAGUCACCUGGUCUGGUCCCUGCCGCCUGACCCCAGAAGUCUGCCCACUGUCUUAUCUGAGAGGGAGGUUGCUCUGUGCUCACGGCCACUGUGGACAUUAUGUGGCCUCCCCAUCUACAGGCGGCUUCCAGAGAAGUGGCAUACUUCCGGCCUGUCCCCCUGCAAGUGGCUCUCUCCCCUUCCAGGGCACAUUCCACCAUUCUGCAAACCUAAGGGUUUGUGUUUCCCCCCUGGUUCAGGGACACCUGCUGCUGACUCAGUUUUAGAGAAAACACUUAUCUAGUUAGUGACUCACUUUGAUUAAACCAGCAAAGUAACCUACAACAUGGAAGCAAAUUUUUGUUUCAAACUUCUUCAAGCUUCUUUGUUUGAAAACAAACAAAACACAUUGCAAGACACGACCUCUAAUUUUGUGGCUAUUUCCGAAUAUAAUUUAAAUUACUAUUGCUUGUUGAUUACCAGGAAGUGUCCAGCCCAUUCCACAUCUUCCAGCUCCAUCCUCACAGCAGGUCUAAAGGUGCGCAUUGUUGUCCCCAGUUUAAAAAUGAGACUGGGGCUCAGAGGAAGAGUCAGGGCAGCCACCUGGGAGCUGUAGCCUUGGGCACACCAUGACCCCGCCCUGAGACUUCAUCCUUUCCCUUAAGUGCCCUCAAAUCUCUCCCAGACUGCUGCUCCUCUGUCCUCCCGGCUGGCUGUGAAUGUCCACCCCAAGGCCUAUGAAAGUCCCGCCACUGCCUACCUUCCUGGGCCUUCUCCACUGGCCCCCUAACUUGCCAACUCCCACUGGGGUGAGGGGGAGAGUACCGAGCUACCCAGCCCCCACUCCUGAGGAUAGUCCCCGUGGGGCUCAGUAGAUUCCAGAGGACUGGUUGGCUGACCACCGGUUUGUGGAUCCCAGGCCCCACCAGGUCUGAAGCAGGCCUGGGCUUGUUGGGAGGGAGGGUCGUGUUCUCAGAGGCUGGGACCCAUGGGGCGGGAGUUGGGGCUGCUAUUUCCCCUGCCACCCGCAGGCGCAGAGAGAGAGAACUGAUCCCGCUACUGGGCCACCAGGCACGGCUCUGUUUGUUUACAUGGGUAGGGCUUGUCCCCUCGCGGCCAGUCACCAGACAACACAGCAGUUGGUGACAACCAUCAGCUCUCCAUUUUCCCCUCGGGCCUGGUACAGGCGCGGGAAAGUCCCAACUCCAGAGCGACCUGUACCGUCCUCCCGAGUCUGGCCCAGGUGUUCCCCGCGGCUCCCCGCAGACUUGGGUCCGCAAGCUGCAGUGUACCCCUAAACUUGGGAGACAGGGAGCUGGGCCGAGGAGCAGCGCUGGGGUACCGCCAGCAGCUGGAAGUUCAAGCUGACGGCAGGGCUCCUCCAGCGCCUGCCAGAAAUGCGAACGCUGAUUCCGGGCACCGGGCGCAGGGGCCCGCGGCCGAAGCCUCCGGGACCAGUGAGCGUCUAUACCCUAUACCCAAAAAAAAACAUCAAAAGGAGGAGAAAGAAAGAGGAGGACAAAGGCAAGCACUUUCAGCAGAGCCUCUCCCCACAACCCCUCCAGCCUUUCCGCCCACCAGGGUCACGUACAGAUCAACUGGGACCAAACCCAUGACCUCCACAUGAGUCCAGCUCCCCAUGAGCGGUAUGUUUCUACUAUACACUGAACCAGCUCAAUUUCAACAUGUUUUCCAUACAAAAGUAAACUCACUUUAAUUCCA